UAUAGCUGUCAUACAAACUGACCGAUCAAAAUCCAGAUAAAGAUAUUUUUACACCCUUUUAAGUUAUAAGUACAUGAAAGGAUUACUAAAUUUUUUAACAUUAUUGUCGUUGCUAAUACAGUAUUUGAAACAAAAGAUGUUUGCGGUUAUUGACUGUUUUUAGUCUUUCAAUACAGCCAAGCUAACACUCAUAUGCAACUGAUCCACAAAUAAAUAAAUGUAUGUAUAUAAAUGUGUGGCAGCACGCACUCGCCCGUGCCGAGCGUGCAUUCAAAAAAGCAUCAAACAAUUUCGAAAUAACCUACAAUCUACAACGUGUGCUCCCACUUCAAUACAAUGGAGUACAAUAUGGGCUGAUUAACAGCAACAAGCGGGAGUAUACAAACACCAAAAACACACUGUUGAUAGUUAAUCGCAAGUGCAUAUGCGUGUAUAUAUAUGUAUGUAUGCGCCCAUUUAAAUGGGUUCAGUUAAGUGGGUGUUUUGUUAGCAUUUUCGUUGUUAACGAAUUCGCGCACAAUUCUUUAUUGCAAGGCCUCUGCAUUUACAGACCUCUAUAUAUUGUACAUACGUACUGUUAUGUUUGCGCUGAUUUAAUUUUCGGUCUACUCGUUGGUAUACAUCGCACAUAAUUCACGAUUGUUGUGUUGCGUUCGUUCGAUUUGUGCUUUGCAUGUUUUUGUUGUGUUUGUUAGCCUAGUAAAUUUAAUUGAGUCCAAUAAAUCACAAAACAAGUUGCUGAAAAACUGUUUGCGCUUCUUCGGUGUAUAAUUCUGUUUUGAUGUUAUUUGGAUUUUAGUUGUUAGGCAGAAUUUUUGAAAGUCACAAAAAGAUUGACGUUCAGGAAGGUUUUGCUAUGUGUUUGAUGCGUUUUGCUGCAAGUAAUCUACUAUCGGCUGCUCCGCUACGGCCAACCUCUUAAUUCGGCCCUGUAUUGUCAACAAUUGGACCGUCUAAAGGUAGUAAUCGCCUCCAAGUAACCAGCUUUGGCCAUUGCGACGAGGAUUGCGUUCUAUCAGCGUAACACGAAGCCACACACAUCGAUAGUGAGGUUGGCAGCUUAUUAAUCAUCCACGUCUGGUUCGCCUAAAGAAAAGCUUGUUAAAAUCGACAAUAUCGGUGUUUUCCAAAAGGAACGAGAAUUUCUGUGAGAGUGGUAUUAUGAAAUUACGUUCAAAAUGACAACAAGUUAUUGAAUUGGAUUAGUUAUAGUUCUCUUAGUAUAGUUAUAAUAAUAUAAAAAUCAUCUGUUUGUAGUAAAAUUAAUAGUUUUUAUACAAACCCUUUUGUAGAAGCGCUUGUACAGUUCUUUUGUGCUUUGCUGCCUUACUCUUCACUCUUCUCUGUGUAUAGCCUUAUGCAAUGAAGAGCAAUGAUUUACUAAGAGAGAAUUUGAUCACGGGCUCGUCAGUUUUAAAAAAUCUUUAAAAAUUUCUUCUUAUUCAAUAAAAAUGGAAAGGAUUUGGACAAGAGUAAUGUGCAUAAGCUAUAAACUCAAUACUAAUAGUCCAUGUGAAGCGUGUGGGCAACAAAGCACAAAAAAAUGUUACACCACAUAAUAAAGUGCCAGAGAUAUGAGCAAACUAGAAUAAAGUACUUUCAGGACAUAAUGGCAGAGUUCAACGGACCUAUUCUUAUCUUUGCGAUGCUGAAGAUGCAAAAUAAAGCUAAUCUAAUGAGAAUCCCUCGCACUGAGAAAUAUGAAUUAAUACGGAUUCGCUCACCAGACUAAAAUUAGAGAAAUAAUCUAUCAUUCUUGUCGUUAAGUUAAAUUAUAUUAAACUAAAGUUAAAAAAAAAUACAAAAAAAAGUUAUACUGUGCAUGUUAGAGCUAUGAGUGGUAUGAAACUGACUGUAUAUAGAGACAAAUUUGAUGCUGUAAAUUCUAAAUAUUUUAUAAUUUUGUAUUGUAUAUGCAUUUUAUUGAACAGAAAAUUUAUGUAAAUUUUACCUAACCUCUUGCUAUGAGGAAGUAAUGUACUCUUAUAAAUCAAUAAACAAUAGCUGUAAUACACAUCACAAUUACAAAAUAUUCCUUACAAGAACAUGAUUCCGAUCGUUCAGUAUGUAAGGAAACUAUAUGGUAUUGUGAUCUAAUCUGAA